UACAAGUGCAGUUGUGGGUUUCUGUAUCCAACGUUUAACCGUCCGUCUUAUUUAAAAAUAAUUAUGAUUAGUAUUUUUGUCGUUAUUAGAUAAUAAAAUAUAAAUAGUACUGUGACUACUUUUUAAUUUUUUUAUAAUUUUUUAAAUUAGAUGGAUGGUCAAAUGGAAUUUCAAAUCUUACUUAUA
rnacentral:pre_miRNA from 1 species